UAAGGAAUAUUGGACAAUGGCCGCAAGGCUGAUCCAGCCAUGCCGCGUGCAGGAAGAAGGACCUAUGGUUUGUAAACUGCUUUUGUACCAGAGAAAACCCCCCUACGUGUAGGGGGCUGAUAGUAUGGUAAGAAUAAGCAUCGGCUAACUUCGUGCCAGCAGCCGCGGUAAGACGAAGGAUGCAAGCGUUAUCCGGAUUCAUUGGGUUUAAAGGGAGCGUAGGCGGAUUUGUAAGUCAGUGGUGAAAUCUCUGGGCUCAACCCAGAAACUGCCAUUGAUACUGCAGAUCUAGAGUACAGUUGCCGUUGGCGGAAUAUGACAUGUAGUGGUGAAAUACUUAGAUAUGUCAUAGAACACCGAUUGCGAAGGCAGCUAACGAAACUGUAACUGACGCUGAGGCUCGAAAGUGCGGGGAUCAAACAGGAUUAGAUACCCCCGUAGUCC
rnacentral:rRNA from 1 species